GAUGAACGCUAGCGGCAGGCUUAAUACAUGCAAGUCGAGGGGCAGCAUAGUGUAGCAAUACAUGGGUGGCGACCGGCAAACGGGUGCGGAACACGUACAGAACCUUCCUUCGAGCGGGGAAUAGCCCAGAGAAAUUUGGAUUAAUACCCCAUAGGAUAGUGGAGUGGCAUCACUCAGCUAUUAAAGAUUUAUCACUUGAAGAUGGCUGUGAGUCUGAUUAGGUAGUUGGUGGGGUAACGGCCCACCAAGCCAGCGAUCAGUAACUGGUGUGAGAGCACGACCAGUCACACGGGCACUGAGACACGGGCCCGACUCCUACGGGAGGCAGCAGUAAGGAAUAUUGGUCAAUGGACGCGAGUCUGAACCAGCCAUGCCGCGUGGAGGAUGAAGGUCCUCUGGAUUGUAAACUUCUUUUAUCUGGGACCAAAAAAGGCCUUUCCAGGUCGUCUGACGGUACCAGAUGAAUAAGCUCCGGCUAACUCCGUGCCAGCCGCCGCCGUAA
rnacentral:rRNA from 1 species